AGUGAACGCUGGCGGUAGGCCUAACACAUGCAAGUCGAACGGCAGCACAGUAAGAGCUUGCUCUUACGGGUGGCGAGUGGCGGACGGGUGAGGAAUACAUCGGAAUCUACUUUUUCGUGGGGGAUAACGUAGGGAAACUUACGCUAAUACCGCAUACGACCUACGGGUGAAAGCAGUGGAUCUUCGGACCUUGCGCGAUUGUAUGAGCCGAUGUCGGAUUAGCUAGUUGGCGGGGUAAAGGCCCACCAAGGCGACGAUCCGUAGCUGGUCUGAGAGGAUGAUCAGCCACACUGGAACUGAGACACGGUCCAGACUCCUACGGGAGGCAGCAGUGGGGAAUAUUGGACAAUGGGCGCAAGCCUGAUCCAGCCAUACCGCGUGAGUGAAGAAGGCCUUCGGGUUGUAAAGCCCUUUUGUUGGGAAAGAAAAGCAGCAGGUUAAUACCCCGCUGUUCUGACGGUACCCAAAGAAUAAGCACCGGCUAACUUCGUG
rnacentral:rRNA from 1 species